CCUACGGGUGGCAGCAGUGAGGAAUAUUGGUCAAUGGACGAGAGUCUGACCCAGCGACGUAGCGUGAAGGAUGACUGCCCUAUGGGCUGUAAACUUCUUUUAUAUGGGAAUAAAAUGUUCCACGUGUGGGAUUUUGUAUGUACCAUAUGAAUAAGGAACGGCUAACUCCGUGCCAGCAGCCGCGGUAAUACGGAGGAUCCGAGCGUUAUCCGGAUUUAUUGGGUUUAAAGGGAGCGUAGGUGGAUUGUUAAGUCAGUUGUGAAAGUUUGCGGCUCAACCGUAAAAUUGCAGUUGAAACUGGCAAUCUUGAGUACAGGAGAGGUGGGCGGAAUUCGUGGUGUAGGGGUGAAAUGCGUAGAUAUCACGAAGAACACCGAUGGCGAAGGCAGCUCACUGGACUGCAACUGACACUGAGGCGCGAAAGCGUGGGUAGCAAACAGGAUUAGAUACCCGUGUAGUC
rnacentral:rRNA from 1 species